rnacentral:rRNA from 1 species
UACGGAGGGUGCAAGCGUUAAUCGGAAUUACUGGGCGUAAAGGGCACGCAGGUGGCUUGACAAGUCGGAUGUGAAAGCCCCGGGCUUAACUUGGGAAUUGCAUUCGAUACUGUCGAGCUAGAGUAUGGGAGAGGAAAGCGGAAUUCCCGGUGUAGCGGUGAAAUGCGUAGAUAUCGGGAGGAACAUCAGUGGCGAAGGCGGCUUUCUGGCCCAAUACUGACACUCAUGUGCGAAAGCGUGGGGAGCAAACAGG